rnacentral:rRNA from 1 species
ACUCCUACGGGAGGCAGCAGUAGGGAAUCUUCCACAAUGGGCGCAAGCCUGACGGAGCAACACCGCGUGAGUGAAGAAGGGUUUCGGCUCGUAAAGCUCUGUUUGUUAAAGAAGAACACGUAUGAGAGUAACUGUUCAUACGUUGACGGUAUUUAACCAGAAAGUCACGGCUAACUACGUGCCAGCAGCCGCGGUAAUACGUAGGUGGCAAGCGUUAUCCGGAUUUAUUGGGCGUAAAAGAGAGUGCAGGCGGUUUUCUAAGUCUGAUGUGAAAGCCUUCGGCUUAACCGGAGAAGUGCAUCGGAAACUGGAUAACUUGAGUGCAGAAGAGGUAGUGGAACUCCAUGUGUAGCGGUGGAAUGCGUAGAUAUAUGGAGGAACACCAGUGGCGAAGGCGGCUACCUGGUCUGCAACUGACGCUGAGACUCGAAAGCAUGGGUAGCGAACAGGAUUAGAUACCCCUGGUUAGGAUAGCG